UUAAGCGACUAAGCGUACACGGUGGAUGCCCUGGCAGUCAGAGGCGAUGAAGGACGUGCUAAUCUGCGAUAAGCGUCGGUAAGGUGAUAUGAACCGUUAUAACCGGCGAUUUCCGAAUGGGGAAACCCAGUGUGAUUCGUCACACUAUCAUUAACUGAAUCCAUAGGUUAAUGAGGCGAACCGGGGGAACUGAAACAUCUAAGUACCCCGAGGAAAAGAAAUCAACCGAGAUUCCCCCAGUAGCGGCGAGCGAACGGGGAGNNNNNNNNNCCAUCCUCCAAGGCUAAAUACUCCUGACUGACCGAUAGUGAACCAGUACCGUGAGGGAAAGGCGAAAAGAACCCCGGCGAGGGGAGUGAAAAAGAACCUGAAACCGUGUACGUACAAGCAGUGGGAGCACGCUUAGGCGUGUGACUGCGUACCUUUUGUAUAAUGGGUCAGCGACUUAUAUUCUGUAGCAAGGUUAACCGAAUAGGGGAGCCGAAGGGAAACCGAGUCUUAACUGGGCGUUAAGUUGCAGGGUAUAGACCCGAAACCCGGUGAUCUAGCCAUGGGCAGGUUGAAGGUUGGGUAACACUAACUGGAGGACCGAACCGACUAAUGUUGAAAAAUUAGCGGAUGACUUGUGGCUGGGGGUGAAAGGCCAAUCAAACCGGGAGAUAGCUGGUUCUCCCCGAAAGCUAUUUAGGUAGCGCCUCGUGAAUUCAUCUCCGGGGGUAGAGCACUGUUUCGGCAAGGGGGUCAUCCCGACUUACCAACCCGAUGCAAACUGCGAAUACCGGAGAAUGUUAUCACGGGAGACACACGGCGGGUGCUAACGUCCGUCGUGAAGAGGGAAACAACCCAGACCGCCAGCUAAGGUCCCAAAGUCAUGGUUAAGUGGGAAACGAUGUGGGAAGGCCCAGACAGCCAGGAUGUUGGCUUAGAAGCAGCCAUCAUUUAAAGAAAGCGUAAUAGCUCACUGGUCGAGUCGGCCUGCGCGGAAGAUGUAACGGGGCUAAACCAUGCACCGAAGCUGCGGCAGCGACGCUUAUGCGUUGUUGGGUAGGGGAGCGUUCUGUAAGCCUGCGAAGGUGUGCUGUGAGGCAUGCUGGAGGUAUCAGAAGUGCGAAUGCUGACAUAAGUAACGAUAAAGCGGGUGAAAAGCCCGCUCGCCGGAAGACCAAGGGUUCCUGUCCAACGUUAAUCGGGGCAGGGUGAGUCGACCCCUAAGGCGAGGCCGAAAGGCGUAGUCGAUGGGAAACAGGUUAAUAUUCCUGUACUUGGUGUUACUGCGAAGGGGGGACGGAGAAGGCUAUGUUGGCCGGGCGACGGUUGUCCCGGUUUAAGCGUGUAGGCUGGUUUUCCAGGCAAAUCCGGAAAAUCAAGGCUGAGGCGUGAUGACGAGGCACUACGGUGCUGAAGCAACAAAUGCCCUGCUUCCAGGAAAAGCCUCUAAGCAUCAGGUAACAUCAAAUCGUACCCCAAACCGACACAGGUGGUCAGGUAGAGAAUACCAAGGCGCUUGAGAGAACUCGGGUGAAGGAACUAGGCAAAAUGGUGCCGUAACUUCGGGAGAAGGCACGCUGAUAUGUAGGUGAAGUCCCUUGCGGAUGGAGCUGAAAUCAGUCGAAGAUACCAGCUGGCUGCAACUGUUUAUUAAAAACACAGCACUGUGCAAACACGAAAGUGGACGUAUACGGUGUGACGCCUGCCCGGUGCCGGAAGGUUAAUUGAUGGGGUCAGCGCAAGCGAAGCUCUUGAUCGAAGCCCCGGUAAACGGCGGCCGUAACUAUAACGGUCCUAAGGUAGCGAAAUUCCUUGUCGGGUAAGUUCCGACCUGCACGAAUGGCGUAAUGAUGGCCAGGCUGUCUCCACCCGAGACUCAGUGAAAUUGAACUCGCUGUGAAGAUGCAGUGUACCCGCGGCAAGACGGAAAGACCCCGUGAACCUUUACUAUAGCUUGACACUGAACAUUGAGCCUUGAUGUGUAGGAUAGGUGGGAGGCUUUGAAGUGUGGACGCCAGUCUGCAUGGAGCCGGCCUUGAAAUACCACCCUUUAAUGUUUGAUGUUCUAACGUGGACCCGUGAUCCGGGUUGCGGACAGUGUCUGGUGGGUAGUUUGACUGGGGCGGUCUCCUCCUAAAGAGUAACGGAGGAGCACGAAGGUUGGCUAAUCCUGGUCGGACAUCAGGAGGUUAGUGCAAUGGCAUAAGCCAGCUUGACUGCGAGCGUGACGGCGCGAGCAGGUGCGAAAGCAGGUCAUAGUGAUCCGGUGGUUCUGAAUGGAAGGGCCAUCGCUCAACGGAUAAAAGGUACUCCGGGGAUAACAGGCUGAUACCGCCCAAGAGUUCAUAUCGACGGCGGUGUUUGGCACCUCGAUGUCGGCUCAUCACAUCCUGGGGCUGAAGUAGGUCCCAAGGGUAUGGCUGUUCGCCAUUUAAAGUGGUACGCGAGCUGGGUUUAGAACGUCGUGAGACAGUUCGGUCCCUAUCUGCCGUGGGCGCUGGAGAACUGAGGGGGGCUGCUCCUAGUACGAGAGGACCGGAGUGGACGCAUCACUGGUGUUCGGGUUGUCAUGCCAAUGGCACUGCCCGGUAGCUAAAUGCGGAAGAGAUAAGUGCUGAAAGCAUCUAAGCACGAAACUUGCCCCGAGAUGAGUUCUCCCUGACCCUUUAAGGGUCCUGAAGGAACGUUGAAGACGACGACGUUGAUAGGCCGGGUGUGUAAGCGCAGCGAUGCGUUGAGCUAACCGGUACUAAUGAACCGUGAGGCUUAACCUU
rnacentral:rRNA from 1 species